CAAUAGCGUAUAUUUAAGUUGUUGCAGUUAAAAAGCUCGUAGUUGGAUUUCGGAUGGGAUUUGCCGGUCCGUCGUUGCGAUGUGCACUGGCCAACCCUAUCUUGUUGUCGGGGACUAGCUCCUGGGCUUCACUGUCCGGGACUAGGAGCUGACGAGGUUACUUUGAGUAAAUUAGAGUGUUCAAAGCAAGCCUACGCUCUGAAUACAUUAGCAUGGAAUAACACGAUAGGACUCUGGCUUAUCUUGUUGGUCUGUGAGACCAGAGUAAUGAUUAAGAGGGACAGUCGGGGACAUUCGUAUUUCAUUGUCAGAGGUGAAAUUCUUGGAUUUAUGAAAGACGAACUUCUGCGAAAGCAUUUGUCAAGGAUGUUUUCAUUAA
rnacentral:rRNA from 1 species